AAUUAAGAUAUAAAGGGCACACAGUGAAUGCCUUGGCUCUGGAGGGCGAUGAAGGACGUGAUAAGCUGCGAUAAGCUUCGGGGAGCGGCAAAUACGCUAUGAUCCGGAGAUUUCCGAAUGGGGUAACCUGUCACCGGUAAUACGGUGACGCACGGUCCUGAAUAAAAUAGGGACCCUGACGCAAGACCCGGUGAAGUGAAACAUCUCAGUAACCGGAGGAAAAGAAAGAAAAACACUCGAUUCCGCAAGUAGUGGCGAGCGAACGCGGAGAUAGCCCAAACCGGAGGCAUUGCCUCCGGGGUUGUAGGAGCCCGUUGUGCGAUUGACGGAGGUUAGGUGAAGCGGAUGGAAAGCCGCUCCCUGGAGGGUGAAAGGCCCGUAACCGAAAACCGAAGUCACGCUAGGGAAUUCCUGAGUAGCGCGUCACACGUGAAACGACGCGUGAAUCCGCGGGGACCACCCCGCAAGGCUGAAUACCAUCCAGAGACCGACAGUGAACGAGUACCGCGAGGGAAAGGUGAAAAGAACCGCUGUGAGCGGAGUGAAACAGAACCUGAAACCGUGUGCCUACAAGGUGUCGGAGCUCCUUCGUGGAGUGACGGCGUGCCUUUUGCUUAAUGAGUCUGCGAGUCAGUGCCGGUGGCAAGCUUAAGUCCUUCAGGGACGCAGGCGCAGGGAAACCGAGUCCGAACAGGGCGAUCAGAAGUGGCCGGCACUGGACCCGAAGCGGAGGUGAUCUACCCUUGGCCAGGAUGAAGCGUCAGUAACAUGACGUGGAAGGCCGAACCGGUGAAUCUUGAGAAAUUCUCGGAUGAGCUGAGGGUAGGAGUGAAAGGCUAAUCAAACCCCGUGAUAGCUGGUUCUCUCCGAAAUGCAUUGAGGUGCAGCGUCGCGCGCUGAUGAGCGGGGGUAGAGCACUGAAUAGGCCAGGGGACACACCCGUCUACCAACCCUAAUCAAACUCCGAAUACCGCUCAGUGAAACGCGGCAGUGAGACUGCGGGGGAUAAGCUUCGUAGUCGAGAGGGAAACAGCCCAGACCGGCAGCCAAGGUGCCUAAAUGCCGCUCAGUGGAAAGGAGGUGGGACUGCGCAGACAGUGAGGAUGUUGGCUUAGAGGCAGCCACCAUUUAAACAGUGCGUAAUAGCUGACUCAUCGAGUGGUCCCGCGCCGAAAAUGAUUGGCGAUCAAGCGGCAUACCGAAGCUCCGGAUGCCGGAGGGAUUCGUUCCUCCGGUGUGGUAGGAGAGCAUUGUCUGAGGGUUGAAGCUGGAAGGCGACUGAAAGUGGACUUCAGACAAGAGAGCAUGCAGACAUAAGUAACGUGAAGGCCGGUGAAAUCCCGGCCCGCCGUAAACCCAAGGUUUCCUGGGCCACGCCAGUCGUCCCAGGGUUAGUCGGGACCUAAGCCGAGGCGGAGACGCGCAGGCGAUGGACAGCGGAUUAAUAUUUCCGCACCACCGAAACUUAAACCGGAAUGACGGGGUAUGGGAGAGGGCCUGCCGGCUGAAAGUGGCAGGGGUGAGAACUGACGCGGAGGCUUCGGCCGAAGCGGAUCCCUCAAACAGACCUCCAGGAAAAGUUCCGGCGCAUGCCAAGGUGCCCGUACCGCAAACCGACACAGGUGGGUGGGUAGAAUAUACCAAGGCGCAAGAGUGAACCCCCGUUAAGGAACUCGGCAAUCUAGCCCCGUAACUUCGGGAGAAGGGGUGCCCCUGGCAACAGGGGCCGCAGUGAAUGGGCCCAACCGACUGUUUAUCAAAAACACAGCAUUGUGCCAAGGCGCAAGCCGACGUAUACGAUGUGACACGUGACCAAUGCGGAAAGAUUAAGGCAAGAGGUCAGCCGCAAGGCGAAGCUUUGAACCCAAGUCCCCGUGAAUGUCGGCCGUAACUAUAACGGUCCUAAGGUAGCGAAAUUCCUUGUCGGGUAAGUUCCGACCUGCACGAAUCGUGUAACGAGUUGGGCGCUGUCUCAACGGGGCGCUCAGUGAAAUUGUAUUGGCGGUGAAGAUGCCGCCUGCCCGUGGAAGGACGGAAAGACCCUAUGCACCUUAACUGUACUCUGUCACUGUUGUUUCGGUCUCCAUGCUCAGCGUAAGUGGGAGGCUUUGAAGGACACCUUCCGGGGUGUCCCGAGCCGUCAAUGAGACACCACCCUUGGAGAUUGGAACAUCUAACACCGGUCCCGUGAAUCCGGGCGGAGGACCAUGGCAGACGGUCAGUUUUACUGGGGCGGUAUCCUCCCAAAGAGUAACGGAGGAGCGCGAUGGUCGGCUCAGCCUGGUUGGCAAUCAGGUGUUGAGUGCAUUGGCAUAAGCCGGCCUAACUGUGAGACCCACCAGUCGAGCAGAUGCGAAAGCAGGUCAAAGUGAUCCGGCGCUGGAAAGUGGAAUCGGCGUCGCUCAACGGACAAAAGGUACGCUAGGGAUAACAGGCUGAUUUUGCCCAAGAGUUCAUAUCGACGGCAAAGUUUGGCACCUCGAUGUCGGCUCGUCACAUCCUGGGGCUGGAGAAGGUCCCAAGGGUCCGGCUGUUCGCCGGUUAAAGUGGCACGCGAGCUGGGUUCAGAACGUCGCGAGACAGUUCGGUCCUCUAUCCUCCAUGGGCGCAGGAAAAUUGAGGGGUUCCAUCCUUAGUACGAGAGGACCGGGAUGGACGUGCCUCCGGUGUUCCGGCUGUUUCGUCAGAAGCACCGCCGGGCAGCUGCGCACGGAAGGGAUAAGCGCUGAAAGCAUCUAAGCGCCAAGCCCAUCCCAAGAUAAGUUUUCCCUGAAGGAUCGUGGAAGACCACCACGUUGAUAGGGCGGAGGUGUAAGCGCAGCAAUGUGUUCAGCUUACCGCUACUAAUCAUCCGUUCGGCUUAAUUUCCC
rnacentral:rRNA from 1 species